rnacentral:rRNA from 1 species
GGCGAGGGGAGUGAAAAAGAACCUGAAACCGUGUACGUACAAGCAGUGGGAGCACCCUUUGGGGUGUGACUGCGUACCUUUUGUAUAAUGGGUCAGCGACUUAUAUUCUGUAGCAAGGUUAACCGAAUAGGGGAGCCGGAGGGAAACCGAGUCUUAACCGGGCGUUAAGUUGCAGGGUAUAGACCCGAAACCCGGUGAUCUAGCCAUGGGCAGGUUGAAGGUUGGGUAACACUAACUGGAGGACCGAACCGACUAAUGUUGAAAAAUUAGCGGAUGACCUGUGGCUGGGGGUGAAAGGCCAAUCAAACCGGGAGAUAGCUGGUUCUCCCCGAAAGCUAUUUAGGUAGCGCCUCGUGAAUUCAUCUCCGGGGGUAGAGCACUGUUUCGGCUAGGGGGCCAUCCCGGCUUACCAACCCGAUGCAAACUGCGAAUACCGGAGAAUGUUAUCACGGGAGACACACGGCGGGUGCUAACGUCCGUCGUGAAGAGGGAAACAACCCAGACCGCCAGCUAAGGUCCCAAAGUCAUGGUUAAGUGGGAAACGAUGUGGGAAGGCCCAGACAGCCAGGAUGUUGGCUUAGAAGCAGCCAUCAUUUAAAGAAAGCGUAAUAGCUCACUGGUCGAGUCGGCCUGCGCGGAAGAUGUAACGGGGCUAAACCAUGCACCGAAGCUGCGGCAGCGA